rnacentral:rRNA from 1 species
UACGGAAGGCAGCAGUGGGGAAUAUUGCACAAUGGGCGAAAGCCUGAUGCAGCUAUGCCGCGUGUAUGAAGAAGGCCUUAGGGUUGUAAAGUACUUUCAUCGGGGAGGAAAAACAAAACUAAUAAUUUUAUUUCUUGACGUUACCCGAAAAAGAAGCACCGGCUAACUCCGUGCCAGCAGCCGCGGUAAUACGGAGGGUGCUAGCGUUAAUCAGAAUUACUGGGCGUAAAGAGCACGUAGGUGGUUUUUUUAAGUCAGAUGUGAAAUCCCUGGGCUUAACCUAGGAACUGCAUUUUGAAACUGAAAUACUAGAGUAUCGUAGAGGGAGGUAGAAUUCUAGGUGUAGCGGUGAAAUGCGUAGAUAUCUGGAGGAAUACCUGUGGCGAAAGCGGCCUCCUAAACGAAUACUGACACUGAGGUGCGAAAGCGUGGGGAGCAAACGAGGAUUAGAUACC